rnacentral:rRNA from 1 species
AUUGAACGCUGGCGGCAUGCCUUACACAUGCAAGUCGAACGGCAGCACGGGGGGUAACCCCUGGUGGCGAGUGGCGAACGGGUGAGUAAUAUAUCGGAACGUGUCCUGUAGCGGGGGAUAACCUAUCGAAAGAUGGACUAAUACCGCAUACGACCUACGGGUGAAAGCGGAGGACCGCAAGGCUUCGCACUAUAGGAGCGGCCGAUAUCGGAUUAGCUAGUUGGCGGGGUAACGGCCCACCAAGGCGACGAUCCGUAGCUGGUCUGAGAGGACGAUCAGCCACACUGGAACUGAGACACGGUCCAGACUCCUACGGGAGGCAGCAGUGGGGAAUUUUGGACAAUGGGCGCAAGCCUGAUCCAGCCAUGCCGCGUGAAUGAAGAAGGCCUUCGGGUUGUAAAGCUCUUUCGGCGGGGACGAAACGGUUCGUGCUAAUACCACGGACUACUGACGGUACCCGCAGAAGAAGCACCGGCUAACUACGUG